rnacentral:lncRNA from 10 species
GCUCACCUCUGUUCCACUCCCAUCUCAUAAAGGGUGUGACAGAUACUUCACAGAAGGCAAGGAGAAAACAGGUCAGAAGUAUGUUAUUGGGGGCUUAGCACUGAUUUUGGUUCUGACAAGCUGGCCACUCAGAGACAGCAGUAGCUAUGUCUGUCUCAGUAUGUGGUAGACCAUGCUGUUGGGCCCAUAUAUAUAUAGCCUCCAUGCCUGCCACUGGGGCUACUUCAUUCACGUACCCACUGUGUCAGUUCUGGGAUGACUAAAAUCAACUGGGUCAUCAUGAGUGAAGUCUUGAGCCACUGAGCCACUACCACCUUGUGCCAAAUACUAUCUGUGCCCUGCCUGCCAACCAGGAUGACAACCCUUCACCUGCCAGGUGGAGAGAGACAGCAGCAGGCUAACUAGUUGUCUGUUAAGAACAUCCAGAGCAGGACCAGAAUCUGGGCCAGGAACUGAGAGACAGAUUGGGACAACGGAACAAAUCUACCAGGGUAUGCUGGCCAACUUAGUCUUCUAUUAUGAUCAAGGAAGGAUGGCGCCUGAGAGGUCAUUACUAUGUGACUGGUCUUCAUAUAUUGCUUCUAUGUUUGAUUCUUCCUCCAGAAAUGUUUCAAUAGCAAACUCAAUGAGUUUACGUAGCCAGAAUCUUAGUCAAUAACCUACUCUGCAGUAUCUUAGGGCUGACUUUGUACAUAUGGAAGUCAGCCAGAUCUCAUGAGUGGAUCAUUAAGCUAGAAUUAUUUUCUUGGCACACGUUACAGUAAGGUAAUAUAUGACCUAGGCCUAAGGCAGGCCAUCAACCUGUCAAGAGUAAUGACCCCCAGGGGUAAGGCCUUGCUGUCUCCACCUCAAGGAUGGGUCUUCAAAGUGGAGACAAUAUAGUCCCUAUGGUUUCUACAUGCUUAAUGAGUCUGUUAUGUGAAUUAUAAAGAUAAUAUCUAUGGGGACUUUGAGCUCCUACAAUAAAAAUGUAUAAAUAUAAUCCAAGAAAUUCUGGUAGACAAACAUUGUAAUAAUGCAUAUCAGUCUUUGUAUCUCCAUUUAGUUUUUUUAAAACUUGGCUUGUGUCCAGAAGUAUGCACAGAUAUACAUAGCAAAUGCUCAGUGCUGAAUGUUUAGCUAAAUCCUGUGCUUCAAAGCAAGGAUGAAUAGAUUUUCAUCAGAGCUCAGGACCUGAACUGUAGGCUUCCCUCACAAUGAGAAGUAAAGCUAAGUAUAGGUGAAUCCUGAGUGGCACAUAUUCUAUGAGAGUUUUAUACAUAAUUUGAAUGAUUGAUAUGCUGCAUCUUUCAUUGAAAUGAUUGUCAACCAAUAUUAUUUCAAGUGUUAUUUCCAUGCUAUUUCUAGUUCUGUAUGUUUUACGUAAUUAUAAAUGGCUUCAUAUUUUCAUGUAACAUUGUAUGAUAUGAUUUGGGUUCUAACAGGUUAUCCUUGACACCAGUAUAGAAUACCCAGAAUUAAUUUAAGGUAUAUUAUCAAACCACUAAAAUUAGGAUGUCCAUGAAUUCUGAAGGAGAAAAUAUCAUUUAGAUUGUGUGUGUGUGUGUGUGUGUGUGCGCGUGUGUGUGUGUCCUCUAAGUUUUAAACAUGAGGUGGUUAUAUAAAGGGGACUUCUAAAUUGGGAGAGGAUGAAAAUGGGCUAAAUAUUUCAAACAAACUUCAGUGUGAAAUCAGUAGUAUAUUCAGUAGAGGUGACAGGGAAAAAAGCUGUGGAGGAGAAAAGAGAACAAGAAAAUCAGGAAGCAGUAAAAAUGAUGACUGAGGUCAGGUGGUAAUGGUAACAUCAAGAAACUUGAAUCUGAUGGAAAAAAACCACGGGUAGCUAUAAAAGGGGCAUUCGAAAUAGGAAAUGAUGUGAGAGGAGAAGAUAAUUUUAGUAUAGUUAAAGGAGGUAGCAGCUAUAGGUGUGAAGAGAACGGAUUAAUUUUAAAUGUGUCCCAGAAGUAAGAGAAAUAUUUUUUUGAGGAGUGGGGGAGGAACAAUGAGAUAAACCUGGUUGAGUGUUUUAUGGUUAUCUCAAGUAAGAGUCCACUUGGAGUAUUAUGUCCAUUUUUGGACACCAUACUUUCAUAGGCAUGUUGAUGAACCAGGUCAUUCAAGACACCAGGGUAGUGAGAAGUGUGUUAAUAGUGCUUCUACCAGAGAGUUAGAGUGACAUGGCAGCUGUCCUCAUAUCUAUCGAUCUGUCAUAAGGAAGAAAGAUCACAUGCCUCUGCAUUGUUUAAAAGAAAGAAACAGACCCAAAGAAAGUCAGGAGGCAGAUUUUGCUCAAUAUAAUGAUCUAACAAUUAGAUGUGCCCUGUAACAGAGUGCGCUAUUGUAAAGUAAUGUUCUCCCAUCUUUCCAAGUAUUCAAGCAGAGAAUAGUCAAUAAUACAACUAACGACUGGAAGGGUUUCUUUUAUUCUAAGGUACUAUCAGAUGGAGGAACAUGUAGUUUGUGGUCAGUGACCUCAGGUUCUCACAUUCACGGUGCUGCAUCCUGGUUUUCAUUUGGGGACUGUUUUCUGGCACUCCCGCCUGUCUGGAGGUGAGAUAUGCUUGUUAUGACAACCCUUCUGUCACAAUAAAUUGGCUGGUGCAUUCAGUGUCAUCUAUGGCUUUUUACUUCUAUUAAUUCAUUAAUUCCGGGCCCCCAAGCGAAAGUUUCCAAAGGCCUUUUUUCUUCUUUGUUAAUUAUAACAUGAUAUCAAUCAGCACCCAAGCAGAAACUAGAAGAGUAUUCAAACUAGGUAAUUUGAGGAGAGUUUAAUAAAGCAACAGCUUACAAAGAUGUGGACAGUGGCUUAAGGAAGCCACUAAAGGAUGGCACAGUCCUCCAGGCUUGUGAUCAGGGGAGUCAUUACCAUCCCCCAGCCUGAAGAUCAAGAGGCUGGAGCUAUUUCCAGACCCUGAAGAGGGUGGUUGUAUGGAGAGGACUAUCUGAAAGAAGAGGCUGUAGCCAACACAAGAAAGCCAGGGAAUAAAUAAUCCAUCCUCACUCUCCUGCUGUUGCCUCUCAAUGGCCAAACCCAACCAUGAGCUGGGCAUGAAGGGAGCUAGCUGACAGCUAUAUGGCUCAGCUUCCUGGGGCCCAGAGCAGAGUGGAGCUGAGAAGAGAGUGAAUCUGGAGGGGUUAAUGGAAGAAACCACAGAAAGCAAAUUCCUCCCUGAGAUACAGUUGGUGCUUAGGCAAUAUUUGUACUGACAGGAAUGUGGCCACAUAUUUUGGAAAAGCUCAGGGACUCAAUCCUCUGCUAGCUGCUUUGAGGCCAUGUCUGCCGAAGUCACUGUCCUCUACAGGGUUUUUUCCUCAUGUUCAGUGUUUAGUCCUUUCCACCUUCACGAAAACGAUGCCUACUUAAUAUACAGAAAGGAGGACAUACAGAAAUUUUUCAUCUUAAUUGGAUAUUACAGUUGCCCCACUUUGGAGCCAAGAAGAGCUGAAUAAAGCUGAGAAACACCUAAACAGAAAGGCAAGUUUACCAUGAAGUAAGAAACGUAAGCUUUGGACCCCUUAAUUGCUUGAGCCUCCAAAAUAGCUGCUGCCCCACUCCUGUGCCAAAAUCUGCUCCAAGGGAUCCUAUCCUAGUCAGAAGGCUGUACUCUGAAUGCUGAUAUUAGCUACAACACCAAGGCUUCCCACUAUACAAACUGGAUCCUCAAAGUCAUCCACACCAAAUGAACUCUCUAUUCUUUCUCCCAGUAGCCUGAGAACUGGGUUUACCAGCCUUGGCCCUUCCUUUCCUUCUAGCCUCAAAACAGGAUGGGAACAGAGUCUUUGGCUGUGAGAAUGGGCUCAAUAACAAAAUAAAGAUGACAGAAGAGUCAGUGACUUCAAUGACAGAGCGAUAGAAAUUACCAAUAUAAACGGAGAGAAAAGAGAUUUUUUAAAAAUGAACAAAUCCCCAAGGACCUGUGAGACAAUAACUGUGUUAGGUUUUCUAAACUUACAAGUGUUUUUAUUUAUAUAUGGUUAUUGUCUUCAGAAGGAGAGUAAAAAGAAUGCUGGGUAGAAGAAAUACCUGAAGAAAUAAUGGCCCAACCUCAAAUUUGGUGAAAGACAUAAACUUACAGAUUCAAGAAACUGAGUGUUCCCCAAACAGAAUAAACUUUAAAGAAUCCACACUCAAACACAUCAUAAUCAAACUUCUGAAAACUAACAACAAAGAAAAACUUAAAAUCAGCAAGAGAGAAACCACACAUUAUCAACUGAUGAAAAGUGACUCAAGUGACAGCAGAUUUAUAAUCAGAAACUUGAAGGACAGAAGGAAGAGGCAAAACAUUUUGAAAGCCCUAAAAGGAAAGAACUGUCAACCCAGAAUUCGACAUCCAGUAAAAAUAUCCGUCAAGAAUGAAUAUGAAGGAAAGCUAAGAAUGAAUAUAUCUUCUAUUUCUUUGCUAAAUUUUUCUACUUUUUCAUUUGAUGUAAGAGUGUUUAUAAGUGCUUAUGGAGCAUUUUUAUGAUAGUUGGUUUACAAUCCUUGUCUGAGAGUAGCUAUGUGAGAUGACGUAUAUAGUAAAUGGUGACUGUAGUAACCAUUUCACUACAUAUAAGUAUGUCAAAACAUGUUGUACACCUUAAAUAUACACAAAAAAUAGCUCUGACACAAAAAAUGCAUAGUUGUUAUUACCAUGUAUAAAUAAAAAUACUUGUAAGUUUAGAAAAUAAAAUCAUUGUCUGAUAAUUAUCUAAAUAAUAAAGUCCAUCUGUGUCAUCUUGGUGUUGGCAUCUAUUGAUCAUUUUUCAUUUGACUUGAAGUUUUCCUGAUAUGGUGAGUCAUUUUUGACUGUAUCCUGGACUUCUGGGUAUUAUAAGACUCUAGCUCCUAUUUGGAACUCGUAUUUUAUAAAGUAGUUAACUCUGUCUGUUCAGAAUGCACAUCCUAGCUGACUUUUGUGGGCUGUGAUUCAAAUGUUAAUUUAGUUUAUAAAACUUCUUCUACAGUGCCAUUCUGUAGGGGUUUAUAGUAGACAAAAUAAUUCCCCUCAGCCUAGAGUUCUAUACAUCUUAAUCCCUAGAACCUAAGAAUCUGU